rnacentral:rRNA from 1 species
GAUGAACGCUGGCGGCGUGCCUAAUACAUGCAAGUCGAGCGAACGGACGAGAAGCUUGCUUCUCUGAUGUUAGCGGCGGACGGGUGAGUAACACGUGGAUAACCUACCUAUAAGACUGGGAUAACUUCGGGAAACCGUAGCUAAUACCGGAUAAUAUUUUGAACCGCAUGGUUCAAAAGUGAAAGACGGUCUUGCUGUCACUUAUAGAUGGAUCCGCGCUGCAUUAGCUAGUUGGUAAGGUAACGGCUUACCAAGGCAACGAUGGAUAGCCGACCUGAGAGGGUGAUCGGCCACACUGGAACUGAGACACGGUCCAGACUCCUACGGGAGGCAGCAGUAGGGAAGCUUCCGCAAUGGGCGAAAGCCUGACGGAGCAACGCCGCGUGAGUGAUGAAGGUCUUCGGAUCGUAAAACUCUGUUAUUAGGGAAGAACAUAUGUGUAAGUAACUGUGCACAUCUUGACGGUACCUAAUCAGAAAGCCACGGCUAACUACGUG